rnacentral:rRNA from 1 species
CAUUAACGAGUAUCGAAAGGGACUGUAGCUGGCCCCCCGGGGCAUGUGCACGUCCCGCUCAUCCACUCUACACCUGUGAACCACCUGUAGGCCAGUCUUCGGCUCGGGGCUUGUCUCCGAUGUCCGGGUUGACCUAUGUCUCAUUACAAACGCUUUGGUAUCAGAAUGUACGUCGCGAUAAUACGCAUCUUAAUACAACUUUCAGCAACGGAUCUCUUGGCUCUCGCAUCGAUGAAGAACGCAGCGAAAUGCGAUAAGUAAUGUGAAUUGCAGAAUUCAGUGAAUCAUCGAAUCUUUGAACGCACCUUGCGCUCCUGGGUAUUCCCAGGAGCNAUACCUGUUUGAGUGUCAUGGAAUUCUCAAUCCCCUCUCCCUUGCGGUUGUGGGGUUUGGACUUGGAGGUCUUUGCCGGUGCUUAUGCACGGGCUCCUCUGGAAUGCAUUAGCUCGAUUCCGUGCGGAUCGGCUCCCGGCGUGAUAAUUGUCUACGUCGUGACCGUGAAGCGUUUGGCGGGCUUCGAACCGUCCCCCCGAGGGACAAUCGAUCUUGACAUCUGGCCUCAAAUCAGGUAGGACUACCCGCUGAACUUAAGCAUAUCAAUAAGCGGAGGAAAAGAAACUAACAAGGAUUCCCCUAGUAACUGCGAGUGAAGCGGGAAGAGCUCAAAUUUAAAAUCUGGCGGUCUUUGGCCGUCCGAGUUGUAGUCUGGAGAAGUGCUUUCCGCGCCGGACCGUGUACAAGUCUCUUGGAACAGAGCGUCGUAGAGGGUGAGAAUCCCGUCUUUGACACGGACUGCCGGUGCUUUGUGAUGCGCUCUCGAAGAGUCGAGUUGUUUGGGAAUGCAGCUCAAAAUGGGUGGUGAAUUCCAUCUAAAGCUAAAUAUUGGCGAGAGACCGAUAGCGAACAAGUACCGUGAGGGAAAGAUGAAAAGCACUUUGGAAAGAGAGUUAAACAGUACGUGAAAUUGCUGAAAGGGAAACGCUUGAAGUCAGUCGCGUCGUCCGGGACUCAGCCUUGCUUUUGCUUGGUGCACUUUCCGGUCGACGGGCCAGCAUCGAUUUUGGUCGCCGGAGAAUGGCUUGGGGA